rnacentral:rRNA from 1 species
GACGAACGCUGGCGGCGUGCUUAACACAUGCAAGUCGAACGAUGAUGCCAGCUUGCUGGUGGAUUAGUGGCGAACGGGUGAGUAACACGUGAGCAACCUGCCCCUGACUUCGGGAUAACCGCGGGAAACCGCGGCUAAUACCGGAUAUGACGCGCUAUCGCAUGGUGGUGUGUGGAAAGAUUUAUCGGUUGGGGAUGGGCUCGCGGCCUAUCAGCUUGUUGGUGGGGUGAUGGCCUACCAAGGCGACGACGGGUAGCCGGCCUGAGAGGGUGACCGGCCACACUGGGACUGAGACACGGCCCAGACUCCUACGGGAGGCAGCAGUGGGGAAUAUUGCACAAUGGGCGCAAGCCUGAUGCAGCGACGCCGCGUGAGGGAUGACGGCCUUCGGGUUGUAAACCUCUUUCAGUAGGGAAGAAGGCCUUCGGGUUGACGGUACCUGCAGAAGAAGCGCCGGCUAACUACGUG